GACGAACGCUGGCGGCGUGCUUAACACAUGCAAGUCGAACGGAAAGGCCCUUCUUUUGUGGGGUGCUCGAGUGGCGAACGGGUGAGUAACACGUGAGUAACCUGCCCUUGACUUUGGGAUAACUUCAGGAAACUGGGGCUAAUACCGGAUAGGAGCUCCUGCUGCAUGGUGGGGGUUGGAAAGUUUCGGCGGUUGGGGAUGGACUCGCGGCUUAUCAGCUUGUUGGUGGGGUAGUGGCUUACCAAGGCUUUGACGGGUAGCCGGCCUGAGAGGGUGACCGGCCACAUUGGGACUGAGAUACGGCCCAGACUCCUACGGGAGGCAGCAGUGGGGAAUAUUGCACAAUUGGCGGAAGCCUGAUGCAGCAACGCCGCGUGCGGGAUGACGGCCUUCGGGUUGUAAACCGCUUUCGCCUGUGACGAAGCGUGAGUGACGGUAAUGGGUAAAGAAGCACCGGCUAACUACGUG
rnacentral:rRNA from 1 species